rnacentral:rRNA from 1 species
UACGUAGGGGGCAAGCGUUGUCCGGAUUUAUUGGGCGUAAAGAGCGUGUUGGCGGCCAGGUAGGUCUGCUGUGAAAACUCGAGGCUCAACCUCGAGACGCCGGCGGAAACCAUCUGGCUAGAGUCCGGAAGAGGAGAGUGGAAUUCCUGGUGUAGCGGUGAAAUGCGCAGAUAUCAGGAAGAACACCCGUGGCGAAGGCGGCUCUCUGGGACGGUACUGACGCUGAGACGCGAAAGCGUGGGGAGCGAACAGG